GGAGCAGAACCUUAAUAGAAUAGGAUUGCUAAUCAAUGACAAGUAUUUUCUUUAUUCCACGUUCAAACACGUAGUAAAUGAACAGGUUACUUUAAUGCGAUGGUGAAAUGAAAACUGAUAUUCAUUUCGGCAAUAAACAUAAAAUUCAUAUUCUGUUAUUAUUGAGAUAAUUGUGUAAAAAAAGGAUAUGUACUAGUAUAGUCAAAUUAAAAUAUAUAAAACAAAUAAAUAAUAACUUCAACAAGCUGUGUAAGGUCAUUUUUAAGGUUUUCGCCAACAAUUAAAAUGAAAUGUCUGUGUACUUGGCUUGAUGUACCCAUAAAUAUCAAACAACACACCAGCACAUGUUUGGUCAAUACAGGUUUAUUGGAUUGUUUGCAAUACAGAGCCAAUCUGUUUCAGAGGUCAGUUGUUAGGGUUUUCUCUUCAGCAGUUCCUCAGUAAUAAUAAUCAGGAUUAUUUCAGAUGACUGAUUAGUAGCAGAACAUCCAGAACAGAGAAGUUUACAUAGUCAUAUGAGUGAUGGACACAAAGGCUGUUCUCAUGGAACAAUAGGCCUAGCUUACCCCGAGUGCUCAAUGCACGUUAAGAACAACACGAUGCCCACUUUCAGCAUCCCUCAAGGUGUCAAACAGGCUGCUUCCUUGUACUCUGAGGAAACAUUCAGAAGUCCCUGAGAAUUAUGGCACUCGAUGACCCAGCCAGUGUCUAUACACACACUUCAUCUCACUUGAUCUCAUUGCUUCUUUGUAGUCUAGCAUGUGGCAACUCCUUGGAGUCUCCCUUGGGCAGAGCCAUAGUCUUAGUAGCACCUGGUAAAACAUCUUUUAUUUUUUCAAUGAAUACAAAACUAUUUUGUUGGGAAUGCUCCAUAAGGUUGCACUUUGCUUAUAACAAAA